rnacentral:rRNA from 1 species
UGCAUAUCAAAAGCGGAGGAAAAGAAACCAACAGGGAUUGCCCUAGUAACGGCGAGUGAAGCGGCAACAGCUCAAAUUUGAAAUCUGGCUCUUUCAGAGUCCGAGUUGUAAUUUGCAGAGGGCGCUUUGGCUUUGGCAGCGGUCCAAGUUCCUUGGAACAGGACGUCACAGAGGGUGAGAAUCCCGUACGUGGUCGCUAGCUAUUGCCGUGUAAAGCCCCUUCGACGAGUCGAGUUGUUUGGGAAUGCAGCUCUAAAUGGGAGGUAAAUUUCUUCUAAAGCUAAAUAUUGGCCAGAGACCGAUAGCGCACAAGUAGAGUGAUCGAAAGAUGAAAAGCACUUUGGAAAGAGAGUCAAACAGCACGUGAAAUUGUUGAAAGGGAAGCGCUUGCAGCCAGACUUGCUUGCAGUUGCUCAUCCGGGCUUUUGCCCGGUGCACUCUUCUGUAGGCAGGCCAGCAUCAGUUUGGGCGGUGGGAUAAAGGUCUCUGACACGUUCCUCCUUUCGGGGAGGCCAUAUAGGGGAGGCGACAUACCACCAGCCUGGACUGAGGUCCGCGCAUCUGCUAGGAUGCUGGCGUAAUGGCUGUAAGCGGCCCGUCUUGAA